UCCGGUUUGACACCGGCAGUCUCAUUAGAGUCCCCAGCUUUACCUGUUGGCAACUAAUGAUAGGGGUUUCGCUCGUUAAGGGACUUAACCCGACACUUCACAGCACGAGCUGACGACAGCCAUGCAGCACCUGUGCACGUUCCACUCAAAGAGUGUCAUCCGUCUUUCAACGAACUAAUCCGUGCAUGUCAAGCCUUGGAUAAGGUUCUUCGCGUUGCUUCGAAUUAAGCCACAUGCUCCACCGCUUGUGUGAGCCCCCGUCAAUUCCUUUGAGUUUUAGCCUUGCGACCGUACUCCCCAGGCGGUACACUUAGCACUUUAGCUUCGGCCCCGAUGGCGUCAGAGCCCCCAGGACCUAGUGUACAUCGUUUAGGGCGUGGACUA
rnacentral:misc_RNA from 1 species